rnacentral:rRNA from 1 species
CAGUCGCCGCGGUAAUACGUAGGUGGCAAGCGUUGUCCGGAAUUAUUGGGCGUAAAGCGCGCGCAGGCGGCCUAUCCAGUCUGUCUUAAAAGUUCGGGGCUCAACCCCGUGAUGGGAUGGAAACUAGUAGGCUAGAGUAUCGGAGAGGAAAGCGGAAUUCCUAGUGUAGCGGUGAAAUGCGUAGAUAUUAGGAAGAACACCAGUGGCGAAGGCGGCUUUCUGGACGAAAACUGACGCUGAGGCGCGAAAGCCAGGGGAGCGAACGGGAUUAGAUACCCCUGUAGUCCCUGUCUCUUAUACA